GACGAACGCUGGCGGCGUGCCUAAUACAUGCAGGUCGAGCGAAUGGAUUAAGAGCUUGCUCUUAUGAAGUUAGCGGCGGACGGGUGAGUAACACGUGGGUAACCUGCCCAUAAGACUGGGAUAACUCCGGGAAACCGGGGCUAAUACCGGAUAACAUUUUGAACCGCAUGGUUCGAAAUUGAAAGGCGGCUUCGGCUGUCACUUAUGGAUGGACCCGCGUCGCAUUAGCUAGUUGGUGAGGUAACGGCGCAUCAAGGCAACGAUGCGUAGCCGACCUGAGGGGGUGAUCGGCCACGCUGGGAAUGAGACACGGCCCAGACUCCUACGGGAGGUAGCAGUAGGGAAUCUUCCGCAAUGGACGAAAGUCUGACGGAGCAACGCCGCGUGAGUGAUGAAGGCUUUCGGGUCGUAAAACUCUGUUGUUAGGGAAGAACAAGUGCUAGUUGAAUAAGCUGGCACCUUGACGGUACCUAACCAGAAAGCCACGGCUAACUACGUGCCAGCCGCCGCGGUAA
rnacentral:rRNA from 1 species